GGGAGGCAGCAGUGGGGAAUUUUCCGCAAUGGGCGCAAGCCUGACGGAGCAAUACCGCGUGAGGGAGGAAGGUCUGUGGAUUGUAAACCCCUUUUCUCAGGGAAGAAGCUCUGACGGUACCUGAGGAAUAAGCAUCGGCUAACUCCGUGCCAGCAGCCGCGGUAAUACGGAGGANGCAAGCGUUAUCCGGAAUUAUUGGGCGUAAAGCGNCCGCAGGCGNCUANNUAAGUCUGCUUUNAAANACCGGGGCUCANCCCCNUAGGGGGANUGNAANCUGUUNAGCUAGAGUAUGGUAGNGGCAGAGGGAAUUCCCAGUGUANCGGUGAAAUGCGUANAUAUUGGGAAGAACACCAGUGGCGAAGGCGCUCUGCUGGNCCNNGACUGACGCUGAGGGNCGAAAGCUAGGGGAGCGAAAGGGAUUAGAUACCCCUGUAGUCCUAGCUGUAAACGAUGGACACUAGGUGUUGCGCGUAUCGACCCGNNCAGUGCCGUAGCUAACGCGUUAAGUGUCCCGCCUGGC
rnacentral:rRNA from 1 species